GUGGCCUGUGGCGUGAGCAGUGCGCGCGGUUCGGCGUGCGACGGCAAAGAGCUUCCUCGCUGGGCGUAUGGCCCAUGGGAGCUAUCGCCGCCCGCGUCACUAUGCCACACCCGAUUCAACGCUGUCGCCCGCUGAGAGGUUACUGCGCCCCGCUCUUCCGCUUGGCAACUGGUCCAGGAGGGCUGGCAUUCCUGAACCGGGGCGAUCAAGCGUUCGGGUGAGCGGCCACAGGGCUACCCCGCCAGCUGUGGACGCGACCUGGUGACUGCGGCCGUGGGCUCCCGAGCGCGUACCCCGCCGGAGCGAAACCGGGCACGCCGGGGCUCCCGUCUAUCGACUGUUGCGCAGGGCCACCUGUGCCCCGCGAGGCGGUCCGACCCGGCUGUCCGACCCGGCCGUCCGACCCGGCUGUCCGACCCCGCUGGCCGACAUCGGUUCCACGAGGUCUCCGACACGGCGACACACGCUUCCACCGGAACUUGCUGACGACUGCGUGGUCCCUGCUGUCACCGUCUUGCGCAGCCUUCUUCUGCGUGCAGCUGCACUCCUGUUUGCACGUGCUGCCUAACUGCGCUUCCCCCUAGGAGCCACUACACCUGCGUUGCCUGGCCUCAGGGCGACAAAAAGGAUCUACGGGACUCUCGACUGCGGCUCUCCUGCCUGAACGUGCCGCCUCAUUGCGCCUCCCCCUCAGCCCCACUGCGCCUGCGCUGCCUGGCUUGUAGGGGUAUAAAAGGAACCGCUGAGACACUCGGUCCACUUGUGAGCGGCAGUCACUGGAAUUAGGACGUCUUUUGAAUAUAUAUCUACCUUUCCACUGCAGGCUCCAACCGAAGCAUCGUUUGGUCCUUUAGUGCUACCUGAUCGGCGAUGGCUGCGCCUCAAUAUUCCCCGCAGGCGCAUCCUUCACUGCUUCACCACAAAGGUCUCCCACUGUGGCAGCAAAUGAAGUGGAC